rnacentral:misc_RNA from 1 species
AAGUCGUAACAAGGUAUCCGUAGGUGAACCUGCGGAUGGAUCAUUAAACAUAUCUACGUAUCAACCAACCGCGCACUUUGUUAUUUCCGACCUGCUCUGUCAGGUAAGUCCUUGUGGCUGACUGAUAUCAGGGCGGAAACUUAUUAACCCAUUGUAUUAUCAUCCCCAGUUAUUUCAUUUCUUUGUCGCGGCCUAACGGCGGACUUUCUAGUAAGAAAUUUUUGUACAACUCUUAACGAUGGAUAUCUAGGCUCUC